rnacentral:tRNA from 1 species
UUAGGGAGACCAUCUGAGACUCGACCGAACCUAAAAUAUAGGUCAAGCUCAGUCAUCCCUGGUCGUUCGAGGAAUAGAUGUCAAAGCUUUCAAACUAUUAACUGGUUCGGAGCUCGCGGGCUAUUAGCUCAGUUGGUUAGAGCGCACCCCUGAUAAGGGUGAGGUCCCUGGUUCAAAUCCAGGAUGGCCCACCUGGAAAAAAAGUGAUGAAUUGUCAGUAAUGAGUAAUGGAUGAUCGAUGAUUAAUUCAGGACUCAUAAAAUCAAAAUCAGAACUUGCUUAGUGGGGGUAUAGCUCAGUUGGUAGAGCGCCUGCCUUGCACGCAGGAAGUCAGCGGUUCGAGUCCGCUUACCUCCACUCUCACUAACGAUCAGCAACAAAAAAACUCAAAUAAAUAGAAAUCAGCACCCAGACUAAAGUUGUAUCUGAAGUCGGAAUGCUGGAGUCUAGAACUCUAGUCAGAACCUUGAAAACUGCAUAGAAAUUAAGUCAUCAAAGCUUGUAAGUCAUCCGAUGCGUCGGAAAAUCUUACUAGCGACCACCAUCAAAGAAUCAAGU